rnacentral:rRNA from 1 species
GCGCAGCAGGCGAGAAACCUUCGCAAUGCGCGAAAGCGUGACGAGGGGAGUCCGAGUGCCUGUAUCUUUAAGGUGCAGGCUUUUCUUGAGUGUAAAGAGCUCAAGGAAUGAGGGCUGGGCAAGACCGGUGCCAGCCGCCGCGGUAACACCGGCGGCUCUACUGGUAGCCAUGUUUACUGGGCCUAAAAGCGUCCGUAGCCGGGUCAGUAAAUCCCGAGUGAAAUCUGUCGGCUUAACCGGCAGGCGUGGCUCGGGGACACUGCUGUCCUAGGGACCGGAAGAGGUAGGAGGUAGGCCUCGGGUAGGGGCAAAAGUCCUAUAAUCCGAGGAGGACCACCGGUGGCGAAGGCGUCCUACUGGGACGGGUCCGACGGUGAGGGACGAAGGCCAGGGGAGCGAACGGGAUUAGGAUACCCCUGUAGU